UACUGGCUCCACGAACGGCAAAGUUCUGGCUUCUAAAGUGUCAGAGGCCUACAAUGUUCACUUGUCGCCCCACUUUGUUAAGGCGAACGAACAACUUAUGCCUCGCAUCAAGUCUCUACGGAAACAGCUUCGGCCGCACGUAGACAAAGCUGCUGCGUACGUCCGUCCUUAUUACGAGAAAUCUCAAGAAUACGCUGCUCCUCACAUCGAAAAGGUGCAGCAAGUUUCCAAGGAGGCACUGUCCUCGGCUGUAAAUUAUCACAAUAAGAUGCAAAACUCAGUUCGCGGGCUUUUAUUGAAGCACGAGGUGG